UAGCUCAGUUGGAUAGAGCAACGGCCUUCUAAGCCGUAGGUCAGGGGUUCGAAUCCCUU
rnacentral:tRNA from 1 species